AUACGGUGAAUACGUUCCCGGACCUUGCACACACCGCCCGUCAAGCCACGGAAGCCGGGUGUACCUAAAGUCGGUAACCGUAAGGAGCCGCCUGGGGUAAAACUGGUGACUGGGGCU
rnacentral:rRNA from 1 species